AACGAGUCGCAAGACCGCGAGGUUUAGCAAAUCUCUUAAAGCCGUUCUCAGUUCGGAUUGUAGGCUGCAACUCGCCUACAUGAAGUCGGAAUCGCUAGUAAUCGCGGAUCAGCAUGCCGCGGUGAAUACGUUCCCGGGCCUUGUACACACCGCCCGUCACACCAUGAGAGUUUGUAACACCCAAAGCCGGUGGGGUAACCUUUUGGAGCCAGCCGCCUAAGGUGGGACAGAUGAUUGGGGUGAAGUCGUAACAAGGUACC
rnacentral:rRNA from 1 species